CACGGUUUUGUCCUAUAUAAAAGGUACCUCGCUGGAGGAGAGAAAGCCUCCAUCCUAUAUAAAUCAGAGUCCCUUUUGACUCAUUACUAAUAUGGGAUGAAAAGUACUAUCCUCCCACAACAGUAACUAUCUCGUCAAGAGGGAACUUUGUAUGCAUGGAUAGAAGGUAGAUCCUACAAACGAUACUAAUGUUACGGUCAAGGACUCAGAUGGAUUAGAUGGAUUGAUCUCUAUGCCUACGUAUGCAAGGUAUUAUCCACUUUAGCUCUAUCAAAUGUUGUAAAGUUCUAUCCUAUGCAAAAGACAGCUCGCUAGGAUGAGUGGGGCCAUCCCGUAUAAUUCAAAAUUCUUCUUGACUCAC
rnacentral:lncRNA from 1 species